rnacentral:rRNA from 1 species
UACGGGGGGGGCAAGCGUUGUUCGGAAUUACUGGGCGUAAAGGGCUCGUAGGUGGCCAACUAAGUCAGACGUGAAAUCCCUCGGCUUAACCGGGGAACUGCGUCUGAUACUGGAUGGCUUGAGUUUGGGAGAGGGACGCGGAAUUCCAGGUGUAGCGGUGAAAUGCGUAGAUAUUGGGAAGAACACCGGUGGCGAAGGCGGCUCACUGGCUCAUAUCUGACGCUCAGGCGCGACAGCGUGGGGAUCAAACAGG